rnacentral:rRNA from 1 species
GCGCACACUGUGGCAUCACAGAGUGUGAAAAACUCCGGUGGUAUGAGAUGGCCCCGCGUCUGAUUAGGCAGUUGGCGGGGUAACGGCCCACCAAACCGACGAUCAGUAGCCGACCUGAGAGGGUGACCGGCCACAUUGGGACUGAGACACGGCCCAAACUCCUACGGGAGGCAGCAGUGGGGAAUAUUGCACAAUGGGGGAAACCCCGAUGCAGCGACGCCGCGUGGGUGACGAAGUAUUUCGGUAUGUAAAGCCCUAUCAGCAGGGAAGAAGCUGACAGUACCUGACUAAGAAGCCCCGGCUAACUACGUGCCAGCAGCCGCGGUAAUACGUAGGGGGCAAGCGUUAUCCGGAUUUACUGGGUGUAAAGGGAGCGUAGGUGGCAUGGCAAGCCAGAAGUGAAAACCCGGGGCUUAACUCCGCGGAUUGCUUUUGGAACUGUCAGGCUGGAGUGCAGGAGGGGCAGGCGGAAUUCCUGGUGUAGCGGUGAAAUGCGUAGAUAUCAGGAGGAACACCGGUGGCGAAGGCGGCCUGCUGGACUGUAACUGACACUGAGGCUCGAAAGCGUGGGGAGCAAACAGGAUUAGAUACCCUGGUAGUCCACGCCGUAAACGGUGAAUACUAGGUGUCGGGGAGCAAAGCUCCUCGGUGCCGCAGCAAACGCAGUAAGUAUUCCACCUGGGGAGUACGUUCGCAAGAAUGAAACUCAAAGGAAUUGACG